rnacentral:misc_RNA from 1 species
GAAAUGCGAUAAGUAAUGUGAAUUGCAGAUACCGUGAAUCAUCAAAUCUUUGAACGCACAUUGCACUGCCUGGAACUCCGGGCAGUAUACCUGUUUGAGCAUCAGUAACGCUCUCCAGCUACCAUAGAACAUUGAACAUGUAUUUUGUAGCGGGAGGAUGUGAGUGUUCACGCAGCAAUGCGUGUCGCUUUAAAUGCGAGAUUGAUAGGAGCGACAGAGUUAAUAGGCUCGCCUGUGCUGUAACUCCAUGCACACAACAACAAAAACAGAUCUCAAAUCAGGUAAGACCACCCGCUGAACUUAA